CCCUUAGAUGUUCUGGGCUGCACGCGCGCUACACUGAUGCGCUCAACGAGUUUACGACCUUGCCUGGAAAGGUUGGGUAAUCUUCUUAAAACGCAUCGUGAUGGGGAUAGAUUAUUGCAAUUAUUAAUCUUCAACGAGGAAUGCCUAGUAAGCGCAAGUCAUCAGCUUGCGUUGAUUACGUCCCUGCCCUUUGUACACACCGCCCGUCGCUCCUACCGAUUGAAUGGUCCGGUGAAGCGUUCGGACCGUGGCCUUUGGACGGUUCGCCGUCUGUUGGCUGCGGGAAGUUCGUUAAACCUUAUCAUUUAGAGGAAGGAGAAGUCGUAACA
rnacentral:rRNA from 1 species